GCACGUUCAGCUCCUGGGCAGGCAGCCAAGGGCUGGAGCAGACACCCAGCCACAUGGCUCUGAGCGCUUUUCCAAAGACGGUGGUGGGACCUUCUCCCUGCCCGGCGGGCACACACCUGGCAGACUGCUCAGACAUGACUAAAGCACAGACAGAAGGAGCUGGAGAGAGCACUGAGGCUCUCUGGGCCACACAGAAAGGACAGCGAAAUCUCCGCGGAUCACCCGGGUUGUUUCAUGAGGUUGGAGAAACUUUUUCAAGGCAUAAAAAGAAUUCCCACUAGGUGGCAGCAAAUAUUUAAAUAAGGAAGAUGCUGG